AGACUCUAUUACAUCAGGAUACAAGGUUCCUUGGACUAGGUAAGUAGGUUUUUUUCCUACUUUUUUCUCCACAUCAUGGGAAAAAAGAUCAAAUAUGUUGAUAAACUCCUUCCCAAUUAUUUUUCUCUUCAUUUCAGGUUCUGUUACGCCUUUUAGUUUGCUGAGAAAUUCUUCUGUAGCAUCAACACAGGUAACAGGCAAAUGGAGGCGCUUCUCAAAGAGGUCCAUCACCCUUUCUCAAACUCCUUCCCAAUUAUUUUCCUCUUCAUUUCAGGUUCUGUUACGCCUUUUAGUUUACUGAGAAAUUCUUCUGUAGCAUCAACACAGGUAACAGGCAAAUGGAGGCGCUUCUCAAAGAGGUCCAUCACCCUUUCUCUCUC
rnacentral:lncRNA from 1 species